rnacentral:rRNA from 1 species
GCAGGUUCCCCUACGGCUACCUUGUUACGACUUCACCCCAGUCACGAACCCUGCCGUGGUAAUCGCCCUCCUUGCGGUUAGGCUAACUACUUCUGGCAGAACCCGCUCCCAUGGUGUGACGGGCGGUGUGUACAAGACCCGGGAACGUAUUCACCGCGACAUGCUGAUCCGCGAUUACUAGCGAUUCCGACUUCACGCAGUCGAGUUGCAGACUGCGAUCCGGACUACGAUCGGCUUUCUGAGAUUGGCUCCCCCUCGCGGGUUGGCAACCCUCUGAACCGACCAUUGUAUGACGUGUGAAGCCCUACCCAUAAGGGCCAUGAGGACUUGACGUCAUCCCCACCUUCCUCCUGGUUUGUCACCGGCAGUCUCAUUAAAGUGCCCAACUCUAGAUGAU